UCAUGUAUGCUGUAUUCAAAAAGGAGUACAAUUGGUUAAUAUGGAUUUGGACAGAGCAACGGAAAAUAGGCCUGGAUAUAUUGUAUGGGUGGGGUACUCCAAUUUACAAUCUUUUGAACUAAAGGUUUUGGACAAUUUGCAGGUUCAAUUUAAUUUCCAUCGUCGUUUCUAUGAGAGGAAGGUGCCGUUUUAUAAAAGUUGCAGAGCCAAAGUGGUAUACAAGAAUGAAAGGAGAGCAAAUAAAAAAAGAAAAAUGGAUGAACAUUUGGAGCCUUUCCACCCACUAUUGAUGCUACGAUGACACUGAGCUCUGUCCAGCAUUACCAAUGUAUCAAGAAAGCAGGGCAACCCAACUAUUUCAGGCAGUUUCAGGUGAGCUUUUCUGCAUGUAUGUAUGUAUAUUACUUUUCAUGUCAGUUCACAGCCUAUAUAAUUUCGAUGAAUGCUAGCCGAUUUCAUCAUAACAAGCACAUAUCUGGAAAUUGUCGGAAGGUAGACUUGUAAAUAAAUAAUUAUC